GAUGGCUGUUUUAGUAAUUUGACACAAGAAAUCCGUGCUGCCAUUGUUCUUCCUGCCUGCCUCCGCACUCUGGAGCGAGGAACGAAGGAAAUUUGAAUAAAGAAGAGUAAGCUUUCGAGUGUUACUUAACUGCCAUUUUUUCAACUGUGCUUGUUAUGAUUCGUCUCUCUCUCUCUCUCUCUCUCUCUUUGGAUCGCUUUGUUUUAAGAGGGUUGUUUAGUUUCGAGAAUUGGAGUUAGGGUUUCGUUUGGAUCAUGGCUUCUUCUUCUUCCGAGCCUGGAUUGAAGGCUGAGGGAGGGGGAGGGGGUGGUGGAGAAACUUCCGAGGCUGUAAUGGCGAACGAUCAGCUUCUGCUCUAUAGGGGAUUGAAGAAAGCUAAGAAGGAGCGGCCUUGUACGGCCAAGGAGAGGAUCAGCAAAAUGCCGCCUUGUGCUGCCGGAAAGAGGAGCUCAAAGUACAGAGGAGUAACCAGGCAUAGAUGGACUGGGCGAUAUGAAGCUCACCUUUGGGAUAAAAGCACUUGGAAUCAGAACCAGAAUAAGAAGGGAAAACAAGUUUACUUGGGUGCAUAUGAUGAAGAAGAGGCUGCUGCUAGAGCAUAUGAUCUGGCUGCUCUAAAAUAUUGGGGUCCUGGGACACUAAUUAAUUUUCCAGUUACUGAUUAUUCAAGAGAUCUUGAUGAGAUGCAGCAUGUUUCAAGAGAAGAAUAUCUUGCAUCCCUCAGAAGGAAAAGUAGUGGUUUCUCAAGAGGAAUCUCUAAAUAUCGUGGACUCUCUAGGCCACCACAAAGUAGUCAAUGGGAGUCAUCCUUUGGCCGUAUGGUUGGGCCUGAUUAUCUUAACAGCAUACACUAUGGUACAGGUGAAGAUGCAACAACAGAGAGUGAAUACGCAGGUGGUUUUUGCAUUGAGAGAAAAAUUGAUCUGACAAAUUGCAUCAAGUGGUGGGGCCCCAAUAAAAUCCGUCGUCCAGAAUCUCUCUCUAAAUCUUUAGAAGAAACAAGACAUGGUGGUUCAGAAGAUAUUGGCAAUGAGCUUAAAACAUUAGAAUGGACCAUCAAACCUACUGAGCCAUACCAAUUGCCUCUUCUGGGCCUAUCCUGUGAAGGCAAAAAGCAUAAAGGGUCUCCAGUAUCAGCAUUGAGCAUCUUGUCACGCUCUGCUGCCUAUAAGAGUUUGCAAGAGAAAGCAUCAAAAAGGAAGGACAACAAUGACAAUGAUGAAAAUGAGAACAACAUCAACAACAGGAAAAUGGAUUAUGGAAAGGCAAUAGAGAAACCGACAAGUGGUGAGGGUGGGAGUGACAGGACAGCAAUCACAUUAGGCAUGAGUGGGUUGCCACUUCAUAGAAAUUUGUACCCAUUGACUCCUUUCCUUUCUGCACCAAUUCUUACCAACUACAAUGCCGUUGAGCCUAUAGCAGACCCCAUUCUUUGGACAUCACUUGUUCCCAUCUUACCAACUGGAAUUUCUCGCCCUACAGAGGUUACCAAAUCUGAGGCAGAUCCAACAUAUACUCUCUUUCAUCCAGGGGAAUAAAUGAUGUUAAGUUUACUGAGUCAUUGUAGCUACAUAUCUCCUUUUUGUAUGAACAAAAGGUUUUUCUUCACUUAGAGAUUUCGAACAACCGGUGACAACGCUGAGCCCUCCUUUAGCCUCACGAAGACAACAGGCACCUUUGGUUCUUUUCGAUACACAUGUACUAGAGAUGUCCUUCCCAAACAGCACCUCCUUUUCUGCAUCUUCUAAAUAGGAAGAGAAGAACUUGAAAAUAUGGAAAAAAGCCGGAAGUAAUUCUAUAAGAUUUACUGACUUGUUUGUGCCUAUUUAGGGCUGAAGAACUA